rnacentral:tmRNA from 1 species
GGGGGCGAUCUGGCUUCGACGCGAGUUGCAAAACCGUUCAGUGCAUGUCGAGCAGGUAGCUCAAUCUCGUAAAACUUAGCUGCAGGCAAUUAUAACUGCCAACGACGAAAACUUCGGUCUAGCGACCGUUGCAGCUUAAGCUGUAAAGUAGCUAGUUAGAAGCACCCCUAGCGGCUUAAAUUCCCGCUAGCUCUCAGCCAAGUGUGUUUGUGCGCUUGGAGUUGCUUGCAACGUCUGGGAGUCAUCUUACGCAAACUCGCGGUAGCUCUGCCGUCUUAGGAGCCAUUGCUAAAUUUGAAGGCUCGCUAAUAAGGUAGCUGGUCUAUUAGUAGCUUUAUUGGUUAAAAAAAAUUAAUAGACUAAACAUGUAGAGCUGAUGGCAGCGUGCUAGCGGACGCGGGUUCAACUCCCGCCGUCUCCACCA